UUUCGUUCACACUUUUACUUUGUCACAAUAAUUUGCAUGAGUUAUGUUACGGGUCUCAUUACCAUCCCCCCUAGACUGUCGGGCCAAAAGGGAUUCGUAACAACUGGGAAGAAUGCUGUUCCAAGUCUGCCACCUUCAACACCCCUCGGUAACACAUCCCAGACCCCAUGGAACGCAUCUCCACCCAUCAUCAUGGCAAACCCAAGGACAAGAGAAGGAAGGCAACAAUUCCUCUGGAUUCUAUUGGAAGCACCCUUACAUCCAACCAGCAGAGCAGACAGGUGAGAAAACAGAACAGGUAGGACUGACCAUCCUUUACUGGUGAACUGGCUUAUUUGUAUCCAUUUGUGUUGCAGGAUGAACCAGAAGACUACUGGGAAUAUGACUGAAUUAUCUCCACUCAUCCAAUGCUGACUUUACGGUUCAUAUCAGAAUUCAUUGUGAAUGUUAGUUGGUUGUUUUGUAAAGAUGAAUUCCCACAAAUAGGUUUGAAAGCAUGUUAAUAUUUAUUUAUAUUUAAGAUAUUUAACCUGCUUAGAUGUUAGGGACUGAACACCCUCUAGUGGUUGUGUAUGCACAACGACAAACAUCCUGUGUGCCUAACAUCAAUAAAAUGCAUUCCUUAUAUUUACCAAAGUCACAUAUAUUGGGGAAAAACAAGAGAACAGGUGAUCCCCAAAAAAGAUUUUAUUUUUCAAGCUACAGUUAAAGAAAAACAAUACCAGAGGCUGAAAAUAUAACAUCUGCUAGGCUUUCUUCUCUCUUUUCACUUUCAAAUAUGUACAGUUAUCGAAGAACAGGGUAUAUACAGAGAAUCGAAGGGAAGGGUGGUGGAGAGAGUGCAUUUGCUUUUUGGGGACUAAACAUGACUCUCCCACCAACAAAAAGCAAGGUAAAACCAACCAACAUAAAAGGACCUGCCACAACUCUGGUGAUAUCAACUUACUUUUCUGUACAAUACAAACAGUCUACUUUGCUUCACGAAUGAGAAUUGAGGGUGAGGGAUUUGUAUGUUCUCUGAUUUGGAAACAAAUCUCAACUAGCAUUUUCUGAGCAUUUAAACAAACAAAUGAUAACAUGAAAGAAAUACAAAAUAUAUAUUUUACAACCAUUCAUGCAAAAAGAUGUUCAAGCCACUUCUACAAGGUGAAGUGGCUCCAACUUUUUCUGUCACGACAGUUUACAACAAUCACAAUCUCCCAAACCAGAAGUCUCUAAUGAAAAACAAAACGCACAAAUGUGAAUAAAAACAAAAAGCACGAACAAGCAUUGGAGGAUUUUGAAGUCUGUCGCCAAGUCAAACCGCAACCAAAGGUAGUCAUGGUAUUCCAUUGUCAUGCAGAGAGAACUCAAAGUAAUCAAGUGGCGAUGUAGCAGAUGUUAACCCACUCCUCAAAGCUUAUACUGCACCAGUUGACAAAAAAAUCUUUAAAAAAUAUAUUUACUGGUUAUGGGCUGGAUCUAAAAACUUUACAGCACAGUCCUUAGUUUAAAAGUUAGUGUAUUAGCAAUUGCCAAAAGCAAUUAACUUUCAAAUGAAAUAACCACAAAAAGGGGUGUUUGGUUUGGGCUUGACUUUUAGUGCACUGUUGUAGCACAACUUUAUGCAUAUUUCUAUGGAAUAGAUUGAACAUUUCAAAUUUGAUAUGGUAUCGUUUCAAUCAGAAAACCUCUGAUGAGAGAAAUCCUAUAGGGGCUUAACACUGUGGCAAGCGGUACUGAGUGUAAUAGACAGAAACUAAUAAAAAAUGCCAAAAUUGAAAGCUUACAUAAGAAAAAAAUAGCAAAAAAAACACGAGAGACCCUUUCUAGACCUAAAAA